GACCAUUUUCUGUGCUUAAACCUUAGCUAUCAUGUUAUACCUCAAUAAGUGCUUAAUUUCAAACCAAAUUUGUUUUUAGGAAAGAAGUUUUAAGCAUCCAGUUACACCAUACUGUCCAGGCCAGUAUGUCACCUAACAAAUUCAAAGAAAGAAUGACGUGAAUUUAAUUGGAAGGGUGUUUUGGACUCAACAGUUUAAUAUGGAGGUCUGGCAUUAUAGCAAUUCCAGGACAAGGAUCGGAAAUUGAUGGGAAAAUAAAGCCCAUGGAGAAACAGAAGACUUCCUGUCAUUCUCUGUCCUUAGACCCACGAGCAAUAGUGACUCUCAGAUGGAGCAGGAAGAAGGAAGACAGACAACAGAGGUCAGGCCUUUAAUCAACAAUGAAA
rnacentral:lncRNA from 1 species